rnacentral:rRNA from 1 species
ACGCACGCUGGCGGCGUGCUUAACACAUGCAAGUCGAACGGAAAGGCCCUGCUUUUGUGGGGUGCUCGAGUGGCGAACGGGUGAGUAACACGUGAGUAACCUGCCCUUGACUUUGGGAUAACUUCGGGAAACUGGGGCUAAUACCGGAUAGGAGCUCCUGCUGCAUGGUGGGGGUUGGAAAGUUUCGGCGGUUGGGGAUGGACUCGCGGCUUAUCAGCUUGUUGGUGGGGUAGUGGCUUACCAAGGCUUUGACGGGUAGCCGGCCUGAGAGGGUGACCGGCCACAUUGGGACUGAGAUACGGCCCAGACUCCUACGGGAGGCAGCAGUGGGGAAUAUUGCACAAUGGGCGGAAGCCUGAUGCAGCAACGCCGCGUGCGGGAUGACGGCCUUCGGGUUGUAAACCGCUUUCGCCUGUGACGAAGCGUGAGUGACGGUAAUGGGUAAAGAAGCACCGGCUAACUACGUG